GGGCGCGGGAAUGCGGGUCAGGCCUAACACAUGCAAGUCGAACGGUAACGCGGGGCAACCUGGCGACGAGUGGCGAACGGGUGAGUAAUGCAUCGGAACGUGCCCGGUAGUGGGGGAUAACUGCUCGAAAGAGCAGCUAAUACCGCAUACGACCUGAGGGUGAAAGGGGGGGAUCGCAAGACCUCUCGCUAUCGGAGCGGCCGAUGUCGGAUUAGCUAGUUGGUGGGGUAAAGGCCCACCAAGGCAACGAUCCGUAGCUGGUCUGAGAGGACGACCAGCCACACUGGGACUGAGACACGGCCCAGACUCCUACGGGAGGCAGCAGUGGGGAAUUUUGGACAAUGGACGCAAGUCUGAUCCAUCAAGGCCGCGUGCGGGAAGAAGGCCUUCGGGUGUAACCUUAAAGGGUCAGGGAAGAAAUCUUCUGGGUUAAUACCUCGGGAGGAUGAC
rnacentral:rRNA from 1 species